CAUUCCUAAAUGUGACGCGACACCACGAUUUCCAGCACCCGUUCCAUCCGACACAAAGAGCUCCGUGGCAGAGUCGCGCGAAGCCGUCUGAUUCACAAUGUAAUUAAUGAAGGUCCUGUCCACGCUGUUCGCUAAGUGAAAACAUGUGCUAAUGCGUCUAUUUCUUCCCCGCACAAAUCUACGUUCCACUUUCUGCCACCCCGAAAAACACGAGACUUACCCGCUGUCCGUUGCCAUGUUUUUCUUCAAUGCUGCGCUUGGCUUGGACUGG
rnacentral:lncRNA from 1 species